rnacentral:rRNA from 1 species
GCUUACGGCCACACCGCCUGGUUCACGCCCGAUCUCGUUUGAUCUCGGAAGCUAAGAUAGGGUGGGCCUGGUUAGUAAUUGGAUGGGAGACCGCCUGGGAAUACCAGGUGUUGUAAGAU